GUAAACCUGCGGCUCGUCCGCCGCUGCGGAUGGCACGCCUUCAACGAUGCUGCUGCAGCAUGAGGUACUGACGUUGACGCGCAUGGCGUGGUGGCCAUGCUCGUAGGCGUCCAUGAUGUGUGUGCGACAUGGCAACAUCUCCAAUCUGGAGCGGGAUAGCCCCUGGCUCCACCUUAGCAUCUCCAGCAGUGAGAAGAUCGUCGGGAGGAAGGGCAUCAGUAGGCGAUGUAGCAGACACGAAGGAUGCCGCCGGCACGGACCUGGAGGUGGCCGGCGGUGGUGGUGGUCUUCUGAUCCCCUUAAGCAACCUUUCAGGAUCGGCUGUUAGGAGUAACCGGGUGCUAACCCGUACGUGUGUUACCCCCAAGGGGUACGACCUCCUCAUUUUGUAAGUGGUGCGAAGGGGACAGGGACCAAAACCAAAAGUUGGGUCAAUGCCCCCGAUCAGGGCAUGUACUGGGGAUGCAAAUCCUCCCCUUCUUUGUCUCAGUUUGUUAUAACCGUAGAUCAAUUCCAACACAGGGGAGACAAUAGAUCGAUGGA